GUGUCAGCAGCCGCGGUAAGACGAACCGUGCGAACGUUGUUCGGAAUCACUGGGCUUAAAGGGCGCGUAGGCGGCAGAUCAAGUCCGGGGUGAAAGCCUCCAGCUCAACUGGAGAAGUGCCUUGGAUACUGAUUUGCUCGAGGGAGGUAGGGGUCGAGGGAACUUCUGGUGGAGCGGUGAAAUGCGUUGAUAUCAGAAGGAACGCCGGUGGCGAAAGCGCUCGACUGGAUCUCUUCUGACGCUGAGGCGCGAAAGCUAGGGGAGCAAACGGGAUUAGAUACCCCGGUAGUCC
rnacentral:rRNA from 1 species